GGAAGAACACCAAUGGCGAAGGCAGGUCUCUGGGCCGUUACUGACGCUGAGGAGCGAAAGCGUGGGGAGCGAACAGGAUUAGAUACCCUGGUAGUCCACGCCGUAAACGGUGGAUGCUGGAUGUGGGGCCCGUUCCACGGGUUCCGUGUCGGAGCUAACGCGUUAAGCAUCCCGCCUGGGGAGUACGGCCGCAAGGCUAAAACUCAAAGAAAUUGACGGGGGCCCGCACAAGCGGCGGAGCAUGCGGAUUAAUUCGAUGCAACGCGAAGAACCUUACCUGGGCUUGACAUGUUCCCGACCGCGGCAGAGAUGUCGUUUCCCUUCGGGGCGGGUUCACAGGUGGUGCAUGGUCGUCGUCAGCUCGUGUCGUGAGAUGUUGGGUUAAGUCCCGCAACGAGCGCAACCCUCGCCCUGUGUUGCCAGCACGUCAUGGUGGGAACUCACGGGGGACCGCCGGGGUCAACUCGGAGGAAGGUGGGGAUGACGUCAGAUCAUCAUGCCCCUUACGUCCAGGGCUUCACGCAUGCUACAAUGGCCGGUACAACGGGAUGCGACACGGCGACGUGGAGCGGAUCCCUGAAAACCGGUCUCAGUUCGGAUUGGAGUCUGCAACCCGACUCCAUGAAGGCGGAGUCGCUAGUAAUCGCGGAUCAGCAACGCCGCGGUGAAUGCGUUCCCGGGCCUUGUACACACCGCCCGUCAAGUCAUGAAAGUGGGUAGCACCCGAAGCCGGUGGCCUAACCUUUUUGGAUGGAGCCGUCUAAGGUGAGACUCGUGAUUGGGACUAAGUCGUAACAAGGUAGCCGUACCGGAAGGUGCGGCUG
rnacentral:rRNA from 1 species